rnacentral:rRNA from 1 species
CCUACGGGUGGCAGCAGUGGGGAAUAUUGCACAAUGGGCGCAAGCCUGAUGCAGCCAUGCCGCGUGUGUGAAGAAGGCCUUCGGGUUGUAAAGCACUUUCAGCGGGGAGGAAGGCGGUGAGGUUAAUAACCUCAUCGAUUGACGUUACCCGCAGAAGAAGCACCGGCUGACUCCGUGCCAGCAGCCGCGGUAAUACGGAGGGUGCAAGCGUUAAUCGGAAUUACUGGGCGUAAAGCGCACGCAGGCGGUCUGUCAAGUCGGAUGUGAAAUCCCCGGGCUCAACCUGGGAACUGCAUUCGAAACUGGCAGGCUAGAGUCUUGUAGAGGGGGGUAGGAUUCCAGGUGUAGCGGUGAAAUGCGUAGAGAUCUGGAGGAAUACCGGUGGCGAAGGCGGCCCCCUGGACAAAGACUGACGCUCAGGUGCGAAAGCGUGGGGAGCAAACAGGAUUAGAUACCCGUGUAGUC